UUGACUCAACUAAAAGAAUCAAGAUGUUAUAUGUAUUUGUGGACAUAAAGCUGGAUGCCGCACAUUUUUUCAAUACAGUCAGACACAAUUUUGAAGCUGGAAAGUCACUUGCACUUUUGAGCACAAUCCAGUUUGUGACAACACUUCAAGCUGUAUAUCAAGACCUGUGUAAAGAUUAUCAGGUAGAGAUUCUGCAGUGUAAACCAUUGUCACCUGGAGAGAUUCUGGGCUGCACUGCUCCUAGAAUAAAACACAAGGAUGCAUUCAUAUACGAUCCCUAUAGCAAAGUGUUUUCCAGGGAAUAUUACGAUAUUGAUGCCAUGUUUCAAGCGAGGAAAGACGCCAUAACUACAGCAUCAAGAGCUAAGAAAUUUGGACUCAUUCUGAGUACAUUAGGAAGGCAAGGAAGUCCAAAGUGCUAGAGAAGUUAGAAGAACGAUUCAGCAAGGCGGGCCUGGAAUAUGUAAUUGUACUCAUGUCUGAAAUAUUUCCGGGUAAACUUGGAUUGUUCGAGGACGUGGAAGCGCUCCGGCCUCUCUAAUAUACGAUAUACGUCAUCCUUUGGUGAAAUACAACCCCCAACGGAAAUCUUCCCACAUCUACCAUGGAAACUGGUUUAAGAUACUACCACUGUGAUCAUGGAGGAUGAUGAAAGGAAAAUGAAGGAGACA